rnacentral:rRNA from 1 species
AGGACGAACGCUGGCGGCGCGCUUAACACAUGCAAGUCGAGCGGUAAGGCCUUUCGGGGUACACGAGCGGCGAACGGGUGAGUAACACGUGGGUGAUCUGCCCUGCACUUCGGGAUAAGCCUGGGAAACUGGGUCUAAUACCGGAUAUGACCUCCUAUCGCAUGGUGGGUGGUGGAAAGAUUUAUCGGUGCAGGAUGGGCCCGCGGCCUAUCAGCUUGUUGGUGGGUAAUGGCCUACCAAGGCGACGACGGGUAGCCGACCUGAGAGGGUGACCGGCCACACUGGGACUGAGACACGGCCCAGACUCCUACGGGAGGCAGCAGUGGGGAAUAUUGCACAAUGGGCGAAAGCCUGAUGCAGCGACGCCGCGUGAGGAUGACGGCCUUCGGGUUCGUUAAACCGUCUUUACGAGUCGAGGACGAAGCGCAAGUGACGGUACCUGCGAGAAGAAGCGACCGGCUAACGUACGUGACCCAGCCGAGCCGACGGUAAUCCGUGACGCGGCGUGGACGAA